AUAAGGGGUUCUAUAUGUUUUUGGAAAAGAGAUUAGUAAAAAAGAUCCAUAAAUGACUCUAUAUCCAACUUGACCUUGAUCAAGUAAUAUGGGCAAUAAGACAGUACUGAUUAUGUUCACAAUGUUCUAAAGAAUGAAAAUUCUACCGAGAGCAAUGAUGGAAUCCUAGGGAGAACGCCUUGGUGACCACAGGCAACCCAUUCUUCCAGGAAUGAAAACAAACAGACAAAAAUCAAUUCUGGAUAGUUUAAGCAUGUGAAAAUAGUAUAGCUAUGUCUUUUCCCAGGUUGCUAGAGUUUAAUGACUGUGGCAGUUGAAAACCUGCUUUUAAAUGGGUGGAUGGAUUAUGAGAGCAGAGUGUACAGCUCGUUUCAAAUAAAAGAAGAAGCUUUGUAAUUAAAAAAAUGCUUAAGGUCAAGUCUGUACCUCCUUAUUCAAUAUUAACAAGCAAACAAACAAAGAACAAAAGUUCUCUGAGUUUUAAUACCAUGUGUUCAGAUCAUUUAGUGUGUUUUGCUGUCCACAUGAGCUCACUUUCUGGAUAAUUGGAAAGUUAAGUAAUUGCCUAGAAAAGGUAAACAUUUGUUAAAGUCCUUAAGAGGAGACUUAACUUAUUUGCUACAACUGCAAUAAAAUAGUAGUUUGUGUCAACAUAAAAUCCUUCUUGUAUCUAUCAUAUGAUGUCAUGUGGAACUGCCAACACACAGUUUUUGAUGCACCUGAUGAUGAUGACAGCUAAGGAAGAUUCAAUUGACUGGUGUGAUUGAUAGAUUUAAAUGGCUAAUGACCAAGGAGAAGUGUUGCUGACUAGCUGGCUGAAAAGGGACGGGGAAGAACUUGGACAUUGAAUUUGAACCAGAUCUCAAAGGAUUCUGAAUGAAAAUGCAAUACAAUGUGACAGCAGAGUCAAUAACUCCAGGCACUGAAACCAGCAAUGCCAUAUGCAUACAAAGGGGAAUGGUCACUGCUUAUGUAGAGGAACAACAGCCUGACUAAUUCAUGCAGGAGGUGAGACUGGGGCCCAGGAGGAGACCCCGAAAUUACAAAUAGGAAAUGUGGCCAUUUACCUCACCGUUCACCUGAAGAAAACUCGAAGCGUAAAAAAAGACCUACUUUUGCAUCUUUUAGGAUCUAAGUGGAAUUGGCAUGUUUUAGGAAGUGAGUUCUAUUUCCUAUAUUUCAUUUCAAGGAUUCAUCGUCUUCAAGAGCCAACAAAGGGAUGUAUUUUCCUUAACAUUUUCAUGUAAGAUGAUCCAUAAAGACUCUUUAAAAGUUCGUAUGCUCACCUCUUAUUUCAGGCUUUGACAAAUGA